AUUUUGAAAGCUAUAUUUCUUUUGAAAGAGUAUUUGUUAUGAAAUAGGAUGCAAGUGCCAAAGUAUGUGCAAGUUAGUAGUUUGAUCUUAAUAGUAUGUGCUUGGAGUUCUGACACCUGGCAAAACAUUAUGAGGCUUACCCUGUCUCAAUUUGAUUUUUGUUGAUACGAUUUUGUUUGUAAUUUGUGAUGCGAAGAUGCUUCGAAAAACUUUUUAACUGGUGCUUGUGAGUUGUUGUGUUCAUAAUUGAGUUUGUAAUUUGUGUUGUUUCUACAUAUUUUUUAAGAAAAAAUAAAUAUUCCCUUCUCCUGUUUUGAAUCCUUGUUUGCAUUUCUUAUCAUUUGCUCUGGAAGCAAGAAACCUCAAUGUGCCUAAUGGUACUAGGUUGUGAGAGAUAAGCGGACUGGGAAAACCAAGGGCUACGGAUUUGUUAGCUUUGCCAGCCCUGCUGAUCUUGCUGCUGCACUUAAAGAAAUGAAUGGUAAAUAUGUUGGUAACAGGCCAAUCAAACUACGCAAGAGCAACUGGAAGGAGAGAACAGAUAAUGAUGCCCUUGGAAGGCAAAAGAGCCAUAAUCAGAAGAAACCGAAACUUCCAAAGAGGAGCAUAUUGCAUAAGUGAGCAGCAUUGCUUGUUCAACAUUAGCCAAUAGGAUUUGUAUCUUAUUGUCUUUGCUGGGGUUAUAGAAUUUCUUUCACAAAUAGUAAAUUGAAUGAAUGUAGUAUAUUUUGAACCCUAGUUAUCUUGAGAAUUGAUACGUUAAUCUGUAUUUGCGUUGAGUUCUUGGCGAACUGUUUUCCUUUUAACCUAAAAAGUAGGAGUUCUGAAUUUAUUUCAAA